AUUGAACGCUAGCGGGAUGCUUAACAAAUGCAAGUCGAACGAGGGGCGGGCGGGUGAGAAAUAUAUCGGAAUGUGCGCAGUAGGGGGGGAUAACUACUCGAAAGAGUGGCAAAUACCGCAUACUCUUGGAGAGGCCGAUAUCGGAUUAGCGAGUUGGUGGGGUAAAGGCUCACCAAGGCAACGAUCCGUAGCUGGUUUGAGAGGACGACCAGCCACACUGGGACUUAGACACGGCCCAGACUCCUACGGGAGGCAGCAGUGGGGAAGUUUGGACAAUGGGGGCAACCCUGAUCCAGCCAUCCCGCGUGUAUGAGAAGGCCUUCGGGUUGUAAAGUACUUUUGGUAGAGAGGCGGUAUCUGCAGAAUAAGCACCGGCUAACUACGUGCCAGCCGCCGCGGUAAUUC
rnacentral:rRNA from 1 species